UACGUAGGGGGCAAGCGUUGUCCGGAUUUAUUGGGCGUAAAGAGCGUGUAGGCGGCCAUGUAGGUCCGUUGUGAAAACUCGAGGCUCAACCUCGAGACGCCGAUGGAAACCAUGUGGCUAGAGUCCGGAAGAGGAGAAUGGAAUUCCCGGUGUAGCGGUGAAAUGCGCAGAUAUCGGGAGGAACGCCGGUGGCGAAGGCGGUUCUCUGGGCCUUACCUGACGCUGAGGAGCGAAAGCGUGGGGAGCGAACAGG
rnacentral:rRNA from 1 species